GGAAAGCAUACGCACCCGGUGGUGCGCCCGGGCUUCAAACCCGGUCAGGGGCGUCAGCCGCUCCUGGGUAGGUUCGACUCCUGCUGCUUUCCGCCA
rnacentral:tRNA from 15 species